UUGAAAACCGUGGUGCAGUUUUCUUUGGGGCGUCGACUUUUACUGCCCUGGAUGGCGUUGCGUGCUGUGUGUUGCAGUUACUGACGUAAGCACAACUUUUUCACUGAGUGUCAUUAGCGGUGCCAGGCAACUAUUCGCCAAAUACUUGCUGUGCGAGAUCGUCCUCUGCGACUUCUGUGUUCAGUGUCAUCGACGGACGUGAAAUGUUUUCCCUCGAAAUAUUAGUGCACAAUAAUGACAGCGUUCUUCAAGGCAACACUGUCAUCAAGGCUCCUUUCGCAUCAGUGAGUAGCAGCGCUGCAGUCCUUUCUCGACAACGCUCUCUGCGGCCAUGCAAAAUGCUUUGAUAUGCGAUGCGGUGAACGGGGAUCGGUGGCUGUCCCUCACUCGGCGCAUCGCUUGAACACCGACGGUCAGCCGACAACGUGCUUUCUUGCCAGUGCCUCCUCCUGGCCUGGUGAACCUGGUGAUGUCCUCAUGCAGCCAGUGCUGGUGUCAACCUGAGUUAUUAAUUGAUGCAGCCCGGUGCAUCUAAGGCAUGAGCUGAGGCCUCAUCGUUCUCUAGUUCCACCCAAGUACCAUGGUGGUUGGUCACUUUUGAACUUCUGGAAGAACGACUUGGGGACAACGAUAAGGAGCAUCAUGCCUGGAAAUGUAUUUCAAGCACACCACAUGGGGCCAGCUGUGCCACUUCAAGAAAACUGCUUCGUUCUCAUCUGCAAGCCUCAAAGAAGUUACCGUAUGAAGCAAGCCAGCGGGGCAUAUAAGUUGGGUACCACAGCAAAAGGAACAAAUAAACACGUCUUUUUUGCAAGAAA